GACGAACGCUGGCGGCGUGCCUAAUACAUGCAAGUCGAGCGCAGGAAACCGUCUGAACCCUUCGGGGGGACGACGGUGGAAUGAGCGGCGGACGGGUGAGUAACACGUAAAGAACCUGCCCACGGGUCUGGGAUAACCACGAGAAAUCGGGGCUAAUACCGGACGGGUCAUCGGACCGCAUGGUCCGAGGAUGAAAGGCGCUCCGGCGUCGCCUGUGGAUGGCUUUGCGGUGCAUUAGCUAGUUGGUGGGGUAACGGCCCACCAAGGCGACGAUGCAUAGCCGACCUGAGAGGGUGAUCGGCCACACUGGGACUGAGACACGGCCCAGACUCCUACGGGAGGCAGCAGUAGGGAAUCUUCCACAAUGGAUGAAAGUCUGAUGGAGCAACGCCGCGUGAACGAUGAAGGCCCUCGGGUCGUAAAGUUCUGUUGUAAGGGAAGAACAAGUGCCGCAGGCAAUGGCGGCACCUUGACGGUACCUUGCGAGAAAGCCACGGCUAACUACGUGCCAGCAGCCGCCGUAAUAC
rnacentral:rRNA from 1 species